ensembl:lncRNA novel transcript
UUUAUCUUUUGAUGGAUUGCUGCUGAAGACAUCAGAUCUUUUGAUUUCAAUGUAAGACUAGAUGCAGCUAUCAAUAACACAACAAAUAACUAUGUACUCAACACCCAGUUGAAGAAAUAAAAUCAUGACAACAGAGCUGGCACUUUCUCUUUCAAGUUAUGUCUUUGUGUCCAUCCUGCUUCCAAAUUACAUUG